ACACUAGCUGGGAGAACUACCGAGCUUCACGUACACAGCUCAGGAAGGAAUUACAGAUGGACGUAUUUACCAACCAAAUGCAUGUUACAUCUGACAGCUGCAACCCCAAAAAUCAUAAUAAUUGGGGUCCUGUUUAAUAAGUUAUCUAAGAUCCAUGUAUGCAGAGAACUUCUUCGGAUUCAGUCCAUCAUUCAGUCCAUCAUUGACUUUUUCUUCUAAAGGGACCUUGUCGUCUGAGUUCUUGUUAUGUUCAGGCAAUUUGUUCAUUCCAAUUCCUG